AUGAGCCCGAGCCUUGGUAAAAGCAUCCUACUAAAGGCAGAACUUCCCUGCUCCCUGCAACUCCUCCUCCCUCUUCAAACGGCUGCUCCCAGGGGUCAGACUUAGCAGUUCUCGAGUGGGGAGGAAGAGAGUGAGAAACAUGACAAGCUGGAUACAUUCCCUUUUCCCAAGGUAGGCAGGCCCUGCAGCAGCCCUAGCUGGGGGUGGGACCUGCAGGGAGGAGAAGUCUUAUGUUUGCAUGAAGACUGAAGUGUUGCAUAAUCUAUGGCCUUGGGCAUUACAAUAUCCAAAUUGAGACUGUGUUUUCAGACUCAAAGUGAUAGCAGGGAUUUCUAUGGCUUAAUUGUAACCAGAAGACAAGGGAAGGAUUAUACCCAUUGAACAAGUUGCUUAAGUCAGUUGAUUAAGAAAAUUGCUUUUAGGAUUACGUGCCCUGAGUCCAGUUUACUCCAUCUACAGUUCACAGUAAGUGGAGGGUCAGGCCCCUACUUAUAGAUCCAUAGCUCCUGUCUCCCAUAGGCUUUAGGCUGUGCCCUCACUGAAGAUUCUGGAAACCAGAGUCUUGCUUGGAAUCUCAGAGCCAGCUAAUCCCACCAGCUUCACAGCCUUGUCUUCCGACCACACUUAUGUAUGAGUUUCUGUGCAAAGCUCAACUCUCUCAUCUUCCUGCCCUCAUGGGGCUGUGUUUGCCCUGCCCCAUCCAGCUUCCCAUUGCCCCUCCUUCUCCAUGCUGCAGGGCCCAUGUAAACCAACACCUCUCUGUUCUCAAGCUUUCCAUCGGCUGACUGUCCACCAACUGUCAUGGUGACUAGGUUGUCCUGCAGGCACCUUCUUCCUUGGCAGCUUCUCCCAAAGAGGCUCUUCCCUCUCCAUGCCCCCUGGGGUUUGGGUCAGAAUUCUCCUGUGCUUCCUGGCUGCUCAACUGAACUCCAUGCAGUUCCUAGAGGGGCACACCCUCCCUCACCUUCAGCUCUCUGAGCGCUGUUUCCUCAGAAGCACGGACUCCUAGCCUGGGAAAAUCCACAGCCCCAGUGUACUCCCCAUUUAUCUCUCUGAAUGUGAUUAUUGACUUGGGGUGCAUCUGCCUUAGAUGUGAGCCCCUUGAGGGUGGGGACCUUGGUAUCUUACUUGUGUUUAUGCCUACAGUGACUGGAGCAAGUCAGUGAAUGUAGGUGGUGACUGGCGUUUCAGAAAAUCCCUCUUGGGGCCAGCAUGGGGGUGGAUAAGAAGGAGGCAGCUGAUGCAGUACUUUAGGCAGAGAUGGGUGCUGAGCUGAGUGGGUGGAGAGGAGUGUCCUGGCUGUUCUUACUGAACUGGAAGCAUGCAGACCUGUGUGGCUUCCCCCCCAAUUCUUCCCACCUGGGGUCCUGCCCCCACCCCUUAGUGCUCCUUCUCCUCACUCAGCUCCCAUUUCCUAUGAGUGCUCACUGAGUGCCUGCAGCCCUGAGUGAGGAACAGCCCUGAGUUUGUUCCACUCCCAAAGGGACUGACAUUGUUUCUAGGCUAGGUCAGUUGGGAAGCCUUUGGCUGAGGAAAUGCAGCACUGUGGCAAGUCCUGGAGCAUAGAGCAUUAUGGGCUGAGGAUACCAAAUGGUCUUCAGCCUGGAACCCUCGAGCUGCCCCACGGAAUCACAAUAUUACAUACAGAAAAUAAGCCCCUUUUAUGCGGCUGCCUGGGUGUUUCUCUGUCUCCUUCCAGCAUUCCCCACCCCAAGGAAAAUCCUGGGCAUGUUCCAUGUGCCUCUGGCUGGCUUCCACCCUGGGCACUGCAAGUUCUUCCUGAAAAACCACUCUCAGCCAGUCUUCCUGCUGACAACUUCCCUUGCCAGAACAGUGAGGGUCUCUUCACACAGAUGCGAGUGAAAU
rnacentral:lncRNA from 10 species